UACGGGGGGGAGCAAGCGUUUGUUCGGAUUUACUGGGCGUAAAGGGCGCGUAGGCGCCACCGCAAGUCGACUGUGAAAUCUCCGGGCUUAACCCCGGAAAGGUCAGCCGAUACUGCGGGGCUAGAGUGCAGAAGGGGCAACUGGGAAUUCUCGGUGUAGCGGUGAAAUGGCGUAGAUAUCGAGAGGAACACCUGCGGCGAAGGCGGGUUGCUGGGCUGACACUGACGCUGAUGCGGCGAAAGCUAGGGGAGCGAACGGG
rnacentral:rRNA from 1 species